GAUGAACGCUGGCGGCGUGCCUAAUACAUGCAAGUCGAGCGAACGGACGAGAAGCUUGCUUCUCUGAUGUUAGCGGCGGACGGGUGAGUAACACGUGGAUAACCUACCUAUAAGACUGGGAUAACUUCGGGAAACCGGAGCUAAUACCGGAUAAUAUUUUGAACCGCAUGGUUCAAAAGUGAAAGACGGUCUUGCUGUCACUUAUAGAUGGAUCCGCGCUGCAUUAGCUAGUUGGUAAGGUAACGGCUUACCAAGGCAACGAUGCAUAGCCGACCUGAGAGGGUGAUCGGCCACACUGGAACUGAGACACGGUCCAGACUCCUACGGGAGGCAGCAGUAGGGAAUCUUCCGCAAUGGGCGAAAGCCUGACGGAGCAACGCCGCGUGAGUGAUGAAGGUCUUCGGAUCGUAAAACUCUGUUAUUAGUGAAGAACAUAUGUGUAAGCAACUGUGCACAUCUUGACGGUACCUAAUCAGAAAGCCACGGCUAACUACGUG
rnacentral:rRNA from 1 species